rnacentral:rRNA from 1 species
AUUGAACGCUGGCGGCAGGCCUAACACAUGCAAGUCGAACGAGUGGCGGACGGGUGAGUAAUGUCUGGGAAACUGCCUGAUGGAGGGGGAUAACUACUGGAAACGGUAGCUAAUACCGCAUACCAUCGGAUGUGCCCAGAUGGGAUUAGCUAGUAGGUGGGGUAACGGCUCACCUAGGCGACGAUCCCUAGCUGGUCUGAGAGGAUGAACAGCCACAAUGGAACUGAGACACGGUCCAGACUCCUACGGGAGUCAGCAGUGGGGAAUAUUGCACAAUGGGCGCAAGCCUGAUGCGGCCAUGCCGCGUGUAUGAAGAAGGCCUUCGGAUUGUAAAGUACUUUCAGCGAGGAGGCGUUACCCGCAGAAGAAGCCCCGGCUAACUCCGUGCCAGCAGCCGCGGUAAUUC